rnacentral:rRNA from 1 species
UACGUAGGUGGCAAGCGUUGUUCGGAAUCACUGGGCGUAAAGCGCGUGUAGGCGGCUUGGUAAGUCGGGUGUGAAAGCCCGGAGCUCAACUCCGGAACUGCACUCGAACCUGCCUCGCUCGAGUCCCGGAGAGGGUGGUGGAAUUCCCGGUGUAGAGGUGAAAUUCGUAGAUAUCGGGAGGAACACCAGUGGCGAAGGCGGCCACCUGGACGGUGACUGACGCUGAGACGCGAAAGCGUGGGGAGCAAACAGG